rnacentral:tRNA from 1 species
GUCCCUGUAGUAUAUNGCACAUUACCCUGGUCUUGUAAACCAGAAAAGGGGGAAAACAUUCCUCCCAAGGACU